ensembl:lncRNA
UUUCGACUGUGCCAGUGUGCGUGUGUGCCUUUGUGGUGAGCAAUGCGGUUUGUUAUUUUGGGUACAUGUAUUAUCAGUUAAAUUUUUGCCGUUUUAUAAUAUUUGGAUGUAAAAUAAACAUGCAAGGUAAUUGUAACAUCAGAGAACUCUCCGUUUUGCUGUGUUCGAGCGCACCGGGCGCACGUCUAAACUAAUCCACCAUAUUAGCAACCAGUACUAGACUUCGUUUAGGACUUCGUCAGUACAAUUUCCUUACCCCAUUUGCCACUAAAGUAAGGCAGGAAAUAACAUGAGUAAACACACCGAGGAUGCUUCAUGAAGCAUAAUUUAACUUUAAAAGGUGAACUGAACACAACUGAUUAUGACCUUUCCAUUUGGUUCUCCCCUCACCAAACCGUAUGCUCUGUACCUCCCCUCUUCCCAAUUUCCACCUUCCAGCAUCUCUUGGUUCCUGGCUUUGGAAACAGGUCUCCUCCCAGUAUAUAUAGAGACAGAGGAGUCCAACCAUUACUGCUGGAAUAUCGUGCAGAUUAACGGCAUAAGGGCAGUGGAGAAUCCCCAGUGGGAUGAGCUGGAGAAAGGCACCGACAAUAUAGAUCCAACAGGAGGAACAAAUUCCACAUCUUGUGUAGGCACAGGGACAUAUGCAUUAUCUCACAACCUUUAGUUCAAAUAUCAGAAUUCUGAAAUCCCCCCAUUGCACAUUAGGUUUAUUGGCAAAAUCCACAAUUUCUCAGCUGUUUGCAAUAAACAAAUUCCACAAGAUUUGUUUAAGUAGUUUAAUGAAACUAAUAUUACAAAGGUUUUAUCCAAAUUCAACACAAAAUGCUAUUUUUAAUGACUUUAAUGAAUUUACUGCAGACUCAAAAUUAUUCAACCCCUUCAUGCCGAGCAUCUUCAGUACUUAGUAGAGCAGCCUUUUGCUGUUAUGACUUGCUGCAAAUGUGAUGCAUAGCCAGACAGCAGCUUCUGACAGCGUUCCUGAGGAAUCUGAGCCCAUUCCUCGUGGACAGUGGCCUCCAGGUCAGUAAUAUUCUUUGGUGUGUGUUUGCAACCGCCUUCUUCAAAUCACACCAGAGAUUUUCGAUGGGGUUCAAGUCAGGCGACUGUGACGGCCACUCUAGAAUCUUCCAUUUCUUCUUCUGAAACCAAGCCUUGGUGGACUUUGAUGUAUGCUUGGGAUCAUUGUCUUGUUGGAAGGUCCAAUGACUUCAUGAGCAACACUGACAAUGUUUCAGUCACUGUGGACAUUUGGUCUGAUCGAAAGAUGAGGGGAUUCCUUGGUGUCACUGUGCACUGGAUAGAGAGAUGCAGAGAGGAUACAGCUAAAGACUAAUCUCUUGGCCUGCAACCGCUUCAAAGGCUCUGACACAGCAGAGCACAUCUGUGACCAAUUUGAGGCAAUAUGUGAUGAAUACAACAUCAAAGCUAAAUUGGACUAUAUCAUUAGUGACAAUGCUGCUAACAGGCGCAAGGCAUUUACGGUCUGCUUCCCCAGCGAACAGGAGGACGAUGAUGAAGCUGGAGAUAAUCUGGAUGAUCCUGAGCUAUGGCAUGACUUAACCCUAGAAGACCAGCAAACCGUCAAUGCUGCUGUGGCAAACAAACAGUGCCUCCAGUGUUUUGCACACACAUUGCAGCUGGUUGUGGGAGACGGUUUGAAAGAAACAAAAGCGGCAUGUCCUUCUCUCUCCAAGUUAUCAAAACUUAGCUCCCUGCUCCACACAAGCACAACGUUUAAAGACAUCUUCGAUGGUGAAUUUGGGGAGCACAGAGGCAUCCCUGCUGCAGUGAGUACGAGGUGGAAUUCCACACUGCGGCAGGUGAAAGCAGUCCGUCAUUGUGAUCAGCAAAAGCUCUGCGCAAUUCUUGAAAAGGCCGGGCAUAAAGAACUGUCCUUCACACCACGAGAGUGGAAUCUGCUGAAGGAGUUGGUGGACAUCUUGAAACCGUUCGGAGAAGCAACUGAUUUGACACGGGGAGAAAUUCAUUACAAUCAGUGCAGUUGUUCCAUCCGUCUUAUCCCUCAAUCAUCAUCUUGAGAAGCUGAAGCCUCAAGUUUGUUUCCUGAGCGGCCUGGUCAGAGGUCUGCAGGCCUCCCUGAAAAAAGGAUUUCCUGGGAUCUUCAUUAAUGUGAAAAUGGCCCAGUUUGAAGAAGGGAUCACUGCCCCCUUUUCAGACACAGUCUCCCUGAAAGCAGCUGCCUUGGAUCCAGCCUUUUCUGCUGCUGUGGAUUGAGCCCCAUGUGCUGGUCAACCGUGACAUCAAGGCAGAGGUGGCACAACGAGUUAAGGAAUUGAUCCUGCAAGAUGCUGCAGAGACAGAGCAACCUGUGCUGCUGCCUGCUGAAGAAGAACUAGAGGACAUGGAAGGAGAAGGGCUGUUUGCUGCAUACCAUAAGAGGCAGAAAAGGGAUGUUGGGACCCCACCUGGGGCCU